AAUUUUUUAUUCAAAAUGAUAUUGAAUUGCAAAUUCAAAGGUAACACACAGUUAAAAAUUU
rnacentral:tRNA from 1 species